rnacentral:rRNA from 1 species
GACGAACGCUGGCGGCGUGCCUAACACAUGCAAGUGGAGCGACGAACCGGGGCUUGCCCCGGGGCAGAGCCGCGAACGGGUGAGUAACACGUGGGUGACCUGCCCCGAUGACUGGGACAACCCGUCGAAAGACGGGCUAAUACCGGAUGUGCCCCUUGGGGGAAAGGAAGCUUCGUCCUCCGCAUCGGGAUGGGCCCGCGGCGCAUUAGAUGGUUGGUGGGGUAAUGGCUUACCAAGGCGACGAUGCGUAGCCAGUUUGAGAGGACGAAUAGCCACACUGGAACUGAGACACGGACAAGAGGACUACGGGAGGCAGCAGUGGGGAAUUUUGCACAAUGGGCGAAAGCGGGAUGGAGCAAGGCCGCGUGAGGGAAGAAGGCCUUAUGAUUGUAAACCGCGUUUAGUUGGGAAGAAGAAGAGAGGGUGAAAAGCGGGUUGGAGGGACGGUAACAAAAGAAGAAGCGACGGCUAACUACGUG